UAUUUUUGUUUUUUUUUUUUUUGUUUUUUUUUAAUCUUUCCCUAUCUUCUUUUCCUUUGCUUGCAAAAAGAGACAGGUCCAAGAAGAAGGGAAGGAACGAAGACACGAGAUAGAAUUAGACGAAAAUGGAGAUUGAAAAAAAA
rnacentral:ribozyme from 1 species